rnacentral:lncRNA from 10 species
CUUUCCUGUUAAGUGGGCACACUGCUACCUCCUUCACAGGGCUGCUGAGAAGAAAGGAGACAGGCGCAUCCGCACACAGAAAGCACUCAGUAAAUGCUGUUUCCCCCCUUCCCCCUAUACAAAGAGACUGAAAGCAACCGCGGCUGCCCGGAGGUCCGAACUGGAGGGUGGCCGCAGCCGUGACUUCCUUGGGAACCGCGCUGCCUCGACUCGGCUACCUCUCUGCGAAGCACUCGCUAAGCCGGGCAGCCCCGGGGUCGCUUAGCGGCCCAGGAGGCGCCAGCGAUCCUGUUCCCCUGCAGAGCUAUGGGGACCGGAAGGCGAAACAGAGCUGUCGACGCGGGAGCAUACGCUGCCCACCAGUGGAGCGCAGGUCAUCAAAGCCGAAUCCGAAUUUGAAUUCUGUGCGGCUGAUUGCAGAGCUGUCUUGAGGCCCUGAGGACUGGGAUCUGCGACCCCCAGUGGACAAAAGUCGACUCUACCCCAGAGGCUAAUUUUCUCAAGGCAGGCACCUGUUGAGAGGCUGCAAGUAAAAUACAGGGGAACGCUAGUUUCCGAGCUCAUGUAAGAAUCUGAGAAAUAACGGGGGUAAACUUUGACAAAGGGGUGUGUGAUUGAGACCUGAGGUCAUGAGAUUAAUGGGUUCUUAUUACCUCUUGCGGGGGGAGGUAGUAAAGGGGAGGGGCAGGUGGCCUGUGGCGUCCUGAAGAUUUUUCAUGCAUUCUUUUUCCGAGAACUAAACAUUGUCAACUCUAAUAUAUCUAUAGCGCAACUUGCUUCAAGGACAGUAAUAAUUUUCAUUUAAUAAUUUUCCAUUUAAUCCCUUUACUACAUGGUCAUUUCUGUCUCUUAUAUUCCUAGGUUUCCCUUUAUAAGGAUUAGUCAGAUCAACAUUAUAUCUCUAACAAUGUUCCUUAGCUUUUUCACUCUCAUUAUACCUAGAGAAUUUAAUGGAAUAAACCAGAUUUUAUAUAUAUAUAUAUAUAUAUAUAUAUAUAUAUAUAUAAAUGUGUGUGUGUGUGCGUGUGUGUGUGUAUAAAAUUACUCAACAUUCAAGUAGUCUUGAAAAAAGAUGGGUAGGAGUCACCUUCUUUCCCUUCAUCAGUUACCAGUGUUCUCUUAACAUAAUGGAAGAGGCAGGAGGUAUUCCCACCUACAACUCAGGAUUCCUAUGUCCUAUGGGUUCAGUUGUGUCCCCCCCCCCAAAAAAAAACACCAAAUACAUCUAUUGGACUCCUGA